GAUGAACGCUGGCGGCGUGCCUAAUACAUGCAAGUCGAGCGAACAGACGAGGAGCUUGCUCCUCUGACGUUAGCGGCGGACGGGUGAGUAACACGUGGAUAACCUACCUAUAAGACUGGGAUAACUUCGGGAAACCGGUGCUAAUACCGCAUAAUAUAUUGAACCGCAUGGUUCAAUAGUGAAAGACGCUUUUGCUGUCACUAAUAGAUGGAUCCGCGUCGCAUUAGCUAGUUGGUAAGGUAACGGCUUACCAAGGCGACGAUGCGUAGCCGACCUGAGGGGGUGAUCGGCCACACUGGAACUGAGACACGGUCCAGACUCCUACGGGAGGCAGCAGUAGGGAAUCUUCGGCAAUGGGCGAAAGCCUGACGGAGCAACGCCGCGUGGGUGAUGAAGGUCUUCGGAUCGUAAAACUCUGUUGUUGGGAAAGAACAAAUGUGUAAGUAAAUAUGCACGUCUUGACGGUACCUAAUCAGAAAGCCACGGCUAACUACGUG
rnacentral:rRNA from 1 species